AGUGAACGCUGGCGGUAGGCCUAACACAUGCAAGUCGAACGGCAGCACAGUAAGAGCUUGCUCUUACGGGUGGCGAGUGGCGGACGGGUGAGGAAUAAAUCGGAAUCUACUUUUUCGUGGGGGAUAACGUAGGGAAACUUACGCUCAUACCGCAUACGACCUACGGGUGAAAGCAGGGGAUCUUCGGACCUUGCGCGAUUGAAUGAGCCGAUGUCGGAUUAGCUAGUUGGCGGGGUAAAGGCCCACCAAGGCGACGAUCCGUAGCUGGUCGGAGAGGAUGAUCAGCCACACUGGAACUGAGACACGGUCCAGACUCCUACGGGAGGCAGCAGUGGGGAAUAUUGGACAAUGGGCGCAAGCCUGAUCCAGCCAUACCGCGUGGGUGAAGAAGGCCUUCGGGUUGUAAAGCCCUUUUGUUGGGAAAGAAAAGCAGCAGGUUAAUACCCCGCUGUUCUGACGGUACCCAAAGAAUAAGCACCGGCUAACUUCGUG
rnacentral:rRNA from 1 species